rnacentral:rRNA from 1 species
UACAGAGGUCCCAAGCGUUGUUCGGAUUCAUUGGGCGUAAAGGGUGCGUAGGCGGUUUGGUAAGUCGGGUGUGAAAUCUCCACGCUCAACGUGGAGGGGCCACUCGAUACUGCCAUGACUCGAGUCCGGUAGAGGAGUGUGGAAUUCCCGGUGUAGCGGUGAAAUGCGCAGAUAUCGGGAGGAACACCCGUAGCGAAGGCGGCACUCUGGGUCGGAACUGACGCUGAGGAGCGAAAGCGUGGGGAGCAAACAGG